GACGAACGCUGGCGGCGUGCCUAAUACAUGCAAGUCGAGCGAAUCACUGGGAGCUUGCUCCCGGUGGUUAGCGGCGGACGGGUGAGUAACACGUGGGCAACCUGCCUGUAAGACUGGGUUAACACCGGGUAACCGGUGCUAAUACCGGAUAAUCCUUUUCCUCUCAUGAGGAAAAGCUGAAAGUCGGUUUCGGCUGACACUUACAGAUGGGCCCGCGGCGCAUUAGCUAGUUGGUGAGGUAACGGCUCACCAAGGCGACGAUGCGUAGCCGACCUGAGAGGGUGAUCGGCCACUCUGGGACUGAGACACGGCCCAGACCCCUACGGGAGGAAUCAGCAGGGAAUCUUCCACAAUGGACGAAAGUCUGAUGGAGCAACGCCGCGUGAGCGAUGAAGGCCUUCGGGUCGUAAAGCUCUGUUGUUAGGGAAGAACAAGUACCGGAGUAACUGCCGGUACCUUGACGGUACCUAACCAGAAAGCCACGGCUAACUACGUGCCAGCCGCCGCCGUAACAC
rnacentral:rRNA from 1 species